UUACAAGAAUCCCAGGGAAAAAAAGACGGAGGAAGGAAAAGAGGAGCAAUGAGUCCCAAUUACAGCCUAUGUAUUUAAACUGCAAACAUCUGCAUCGGACAAGUAAUGAGAAACCAAGUUCAUUUGCCUAGUUCAUAUGCCAAACAUUACCAGGUCUCAAGACAUAUAUUAUAUUUACAAGUAGGGAAGCUAUUAUUCAGAUUCUACAACAGGUUACAAUGUGAGUUUCAUAACCCUAU
rnacentral:misc_RNA from 1 species